GACAGAGGGGGCAAGCGUUGCUCGGAAUUACUGGGCGUAAAGGGCGUGCAGGCGGUCUGUUAAGUCUAGGGUGAAAGCUCCCGGCUCAACUGGGAGAGGUCCUUGGAUACUGGCGGACUUGAGGGAGGCAGAGGAAAGUGGAAUUCCCGGUGUAGUGGUGAUAUGCGUAGAUAUCAGGAAGAACACCCGUGGCGAAGGCGGCUCUCUGGAACGCAACUGACGCUGAGACGCGAAAGCGUGGGGAGCAAACAGG
rnacentral:rRNA from 1 species